GAUGAACGCUGGCGGCGUGCUUAACACAUGCAAGUCGAACGAAGCACUUUGAUCGAUUUCUUCGGAUUGAAAUUUUAGUGACUGAGUGGCGGACGGGUGAGUAACGCGUGGGUAACCUGCCUCACACAGGGGGAUAACAGUUGGAAACGGCUGCUAAUACCGCAUAAGCGCACAGUACCGCAUGGUACAGUGUGAAAAACUCCGGUGGUGUGAGAUGGACCCGCGUCUGAUUAGCUAGUUGGCAGGGCAACGGCCUACCAAGGCGACGAUCAGUAGCCGACCUGAGAGGGUGACCGGCCACAUUGGGACUGAGACACGGCCCAAACUCCUACGGGAGGCAGCAGUGGGGAAUAUUGCACAAUGGGGGAAACCCUGAUGCAGCGACGCCGCGUGAGCGAAGAAGUAUUUCGGUAUGUAAAGCUCUAUCAGCAGGGAAGAAGAAAUGACGGUACCUGACUAAGAAGCACCGGCUAAAUACGUG
rnacentral:rRNA from 1 species